AGGGUUCGAUUCUGGCUCAGGAUGAACGCUAGCUACAGGCUUAACACAUGCAAGUCGAGGGGCAGCAUUGGGGUAGCAAUACUCAGAUGGCGACCGGCGCACGGGUGAGUAACACGUAUCCAACCUGCCGCUUACUCGGGGAUAGCCUUUCGAAAGAAAGAUUAAUACCCGAUGGUAUAAAGAGUUCGCAUGUUCUCUUUAUUAAAGAAUUUCGGUAAGCGAUGGGGAUGCGUUCCAUUAGAUAGUUGGCGGGGUAACGGCCCACCAAGUCUACGAUGGAUAGGGGUUCUGAGAGGAAGGUCCCCCACAUUGGAACUGAGACACGGUCCAAACUCCUACGGGAGGCAGCAGUGAGGAAUAUUGGUCAAUGGACGAGAGUCUGAACCAGCCAAAAGUAGCGUGAAGGAUGACUGCCCUAUGGGUUGUAAACUUCUUUUAUAAGGGAAUAAAGUGAGGGACGUGUCCCUUUUUGUAUGUACCUUAUGAAUAAGGAUCGGCUAACUCCGUGCCAGCCGCGGC
rnacentral:rRNA from 1 species